CGACGGGUGAGUAAUACUUAGGAAUCUGCCCAUUAGUGGGGGACAACUCGAGGAAACUCGAGCUAAUACCGCAUACGCCCUACGGGGGAAAGCAGGGGAUCUUCGGACCUUGCGCUAUUGGAUGAGCCUAAGUCGGAUUAGCUUGUUGGUGAGGUAAAGGCUCACCAAGGCGACGAUCCGUAGCUGUUCUGAGAGGAAGAUCAGCCACACUGGGACUGAGACACGGCCCAG
rnacentral:rRNA from 1 species